CUACUUAAGCAAUUCUGUUUAAGUUCUCAUAUUAUUAUUUAUAUCACUUUUAUUUUACAAAAUUGUCUGUUAUUUUGUUUUGGCCAUUCCUCAAUUUUCUAACUUUCUAAAUCAUUGUUAUUUUAGUAAAAAAAAUUUAAACAAUAGGUAGCUGUGAUUCUUAAAAUUCAGUUUAAGGGUCUGUUUAAAGAAAUGAUUUUUAAAACUUUACACCAAUUAUGAUCACUGAAAUAUUUGAAGUGUUUCUGUCAUGUAUAUUUUGUUUCCUAUGGAUUAUGUUUUUCUUCUUUCUCUUUUCUGCCUUGGAUUAGGUCAAUGGUUCCAAGCAAGGUUCUUCUGGCUGUCAUAUGGUCACAACCAGCAGGCAGUGCUACUAGCAUCACGUGGGAAGGAGGAAUAUAAAGAGGAGGAAUAAUGGAUUCGAGUGGGAUGGAUGAAGAUAUAAUCCUGACACUUGCUGGGUGAGAGAUCCUCACUGUUUUGUUUUUUGCUUUUUUGUUCUGUUAAAUGGCAAUGUUUGCUUUAAAAGAUUGUUGUGAGGCAGUAUAUGGGAGCUCUCUAAAGAAAAGUGAUUGGUGUACUGCAGGUGUACUGAAUAAUACUCUCUGAACUGAGGAGGAACUUUGAGACCAAAAAACAAUGCAAGCAACUCCGUAAAGUGCAACCGUGAAGUCUGUUUUGGGUAAGGUCUACCUACACACAGGCAGGAUCAGAUAGAUCAGGACCCAGAGGCAGUGGCAGCUGCACUCCAUGCCACCAGGAUGGGAAUUUAAAGGGACCAAAGCAAAAGAUAGAAUCUGACUACUAAGGGAGAAGUAUGUCCAUACCAAUGUGAACUGGGGCUUUCCUGGGGUGUCUCAUGACCAUUAUUUUUCACAGACCAUUAACCAUCUGCUUCAGCCAAAGAUAGUUUUCGUAUCAGAUGAAAGCAAGAGUAAGUGUCAAUCAGGAACUUAUCUAGUUGGUGCUUUCCAAAGUAGCCUAAAGCUCAGCAAAUGAAAAAAGGGGAAGAAGUAAGACUUCUGGUCUAAGAUGGAGCUGACAAUGUAGAGUCAGUGUGGUUCAGCUGCAUAGUGGUAAAUGGUCUAACAGGCACCUUGGCUGUGAUGUCCCUCCAAGUCUUUGCAAACCUACUCUAAGUCUUAAAAUUAUUUCGAAAUAAACUAGAGAAAUAGACACCUGAUUAGCAGCAGUCUUAGGGAGCUCUCACAAAGAAUAGCUCCUUGUUUAAGUCAUUUGGUGUAUGAUCAUUAGCGGAAGAUAUGUUAAACAAAAGUUUACAAAUGUCCUACCCCCAACCAAAGAGAGGUUCAGCUAAAUCAGGACUAUUUGUAUUUUGAACACAUUGGGAAUGCCUCUUUCUCUACAUAUAUGUAUUUUUUUCUCUUGUUGGUAUAUCUAAGGGGAUUAUACUACAUUUUGAUCCAUUAGUUACCACUAUGAAUGCUAACAUUCUUUCUAUAUAUGCAUAUUAUACUAUUAGUUAUAUUAUAAAAUAUAUAAUAUAUGAUAUAUUCUACAUGUCAUAUAUAUAAUAUUAUCAAUAUUAUAAUAUACAAAUGCCUUUAAAUAACCCUCACCUUCAAAAUUCCAUGCUUACAGCACCAUGCUAAGUGCUGAACAAAUUAAAACAUUGAUACUACACAUGAUGCUUAAUAAUUUCAUGUUCACUUGAGGAAAAAGGAAAAUAGGGGAGGAAAAAAUGUCAGAUUUAUAAGGUAGAAAAGCAAUAACAUAAGGAAAAAUAAUUUUUUGGAUCUCUACACUAACUGAAGUUAAUGUUUACCCUUUACAUGAAAUGAGACCAUAAAGUAUACUAGGGAUUUGGGGGAUAAUAAUGAUGAAAUGUUCUCUGAGUAAUAUUUAGGGAUUUAAUUGGGCACAUGUAUCAUACAUUCUUCUGUGAAAGGUGUAUCAAAAGCUACACCUUCAAAGGUGACUUGUAAGAUAAAACAUUAUUUAAAAAGAUCCAAAGAAAUAAGAUGAAAUGUGAUAAAAGGAAAAUCUAAUGGACCAAAUUAAGAAAUUGCUGUUAAUGUCAGAUGUCACUCCUAGCAUAGUGCUUUUAAAGAUCCAUCUUUUCUCUGAAAGCAAGCAGCUGAGUGAAUAAUGUCUUAGAAAUGCUUUUUUUCCCUAUGAUUAGACCAAC
rnacentral:lncRNA from 1 species